rnacentral:rRNA from 1 species
UACGUAGGUGGCAAGCGUUGUCCGGAUUUACUGGGCGUAAAGAGCGCGCAGGCGGUCGUUCAAGUCGCGUGUGAAAGCCCCCGGCUCAACUGGGGAGGGUCACGCGAUACUGAUCGACUCGAAGGCAGGAGAGGGUAGUGGAAUUCCCGGUGUAGUGGUGAAAUGCGUAGAUAUCUGGAGGAACACCGGUGGCGAAGGCGGCAUCCUGGACCAACACUGACGCUGAUGAGCGAAAGCCAGGGGAGCAAACGGG